GACGAACGCUGGCGGCGUGCCUAAUACAUGCAAGUAGAACGCACAGGAUGCACCGUAGUUUACUACACCGUAUUCUGUGAGUUGCGAACGGGUGAGUAACGCGUAGGUAACCUGCCUGGUAGCGGGGGAUAACUAUUGGAAACGAUAGCUAAUACCGCAUAAGAACAUUUACUGCAUGGUAGAUGUUUAAAAGGUGCAAAUGCAUCACUACCAGAUGGACCUGCGUUGUAUUAGCUAGUUGGUGAGGUAACGGCUCACCAAGGCAACGAUACAUAGCCGACCUGAGAGGGUGAUCGGCCACACUGGGACCGAGACACGGCCCAGACUCCUACGGGAGGCAGCAGUAGGGAAUCUUCGGCAAUGGGGGGAACCCUGACCGAGCAACGCCGCGUGAGUGAAGAAGGUUUUCGGAUCGUAAAGCUCUGUCGUUAAGGAAGAACGUGUGUGAGAGUGGAAAGUUCACACAA
rnacentral:rRNA from 1 species